rnacentral:sRNA from 1 species
GGCCACGGGGAAACCCGGGCCCGUCCAUCUCUCUGAAUGGCCGCCAGAGGGCGCUACAAGGCUGCGUCCCAGAUUUUGGGCAGUCAGGGAUGAGCAGAGUGUCUGCUUCACACAAGGAUCUUCAUUCAUUGUGGGAAAACACUGGAGACACAGCAGGAGCAUAAAAGGAAGAGGGCCUCCAUAUGUGAUCGCCAACAUUGCUGGGAGAGCACAGAAGAUCACGUAUCCCCUGAAUGGUGAAGAUUCAAUCCACAGCAUCAAAUGCUAAAGAUAACCUGAUGUAUAGAUGCUAAGAAAGGAUUCUGAACCUGGACCACCCAGUGGAAUGAUGACCAAUCCUUAAGAAAACUUAAGUCACUGGUACAGGAAAACUCUAUAAUCCAAACUGUUUCUUUCUAAAUGGUAUGUUGUAACAGAGGAAGAAAAUGAACACACAGUAAGACACCCAUUGGGCCAGGAGGCAGCAGCAACAGCAAUCCCCAGAAAAGGAGUAGACCGCUGCUACAGGGACGGGGAGCCAUGUUUGACACUCAACUCACGUCUGGUUGUCCCAGUCCUGCUCCUUACAGUACAUGGGUGACUGUAACAACUGCAUCUUGAAACAUGGAUCACUACAAGGGCCUAAGCUGGAUGUGAGAGUCUAAGCCACCCAACACGUAAGUCACAUGAGAGGUUCUGACAACACGUAAGAGGGAUCAUAGGUGCGUAGGAGGGAUGUGAUGAGAGGUUCAGUUUUGCCUCAAGAUGGCAAUGCCCCCACCCAGUGGUCCUGCAGGACCCACUGUGGUCCUGCAGGAGAUGCUUGCAGACCCUAAAAGAAGCAAGUCAAAAUUGAGCACUAAGCCACAAAAGGACAAAUAAGCUUUUGUUUCUUUCUUGAGACAGUCUCUCUGUGCAGCCCAGGCUGCUCUCGGAACUCAUGGUCCCCCUGCCUCAGCCUACCAAAGACAAGGACUGCAGGCAUGUGUCCCCACACCCAGCCUUCUACGUGCUUUUCAAAGGUUUUUCUUGGCUUGGUACGUAGGUACACAUCUUUAAUUACGGCAUUCAGGAGACAAAAGCAGGUGUGUCUGUGAAUUUAAAGCUAGUUUGGUCUACACAGUGAAAUUUGGGUCCACAAUGCUAUAUUUCCUAAGAUGCUUUAUCACAGUUAUCUAUAUGUGUCCAUGGGUACGCAUGUGUCAUGGUCAGCGUGUGGCGGUCAGAGGAGUUGGCUCUUUCCUUCAGCCAUGCUGGUCCUGAGCACUGAACUCAGGUCUUCGGGCUCCAUAAGCAAGCACAUUUCUGCUGAGCCAUCUCUCUGACUUGCAUUUCUCGGCAGUAGGACUGUUUCAUCAAAUCCGGGUAAGUGUGUCCCAUGAAUAGGUGAUAUGAAGGGAAUUCAAAUCACUGGAUCAAUGUGGUUCUUUUUCCUGUAGUGAACUUUAUUUGAAGAUACUGAGGAAAUGAAAAUGUACUAGCCAGAUAUGGUACCACACCUGUCAUCCCGGCUUUGCAGACAGAGGCAGGAUAUGAAUUCCAUACCAGCCUGAACUACCUAAGAGCCUGUCAAAAGGCCGGGUGGUGGCACUUACCUUUAAAUGAUCCCAACACUCAAGAGGCAGAGGCAGGUGGGUCUCUGAGUUCAAGCCCAGCCUGGUCUACAGAGCGAGUUCCAGGACAGUUAAGGCUACACAGAGGAAACCUCAAAACCAAAACCCAAAACACUUUAUGAUGACCAGGUUACAGAAAAAACUGCAAAAUUCACACUUUGUAAUCCAGGUGCUCCCCUCUCCCCACCCCCGGGGCAGAGGGACUGAUCGAUCCCCGGCUAUGGUGAGGGUUGUAGGGCGAGUGAUCUGAUAGAAGUCUUUUAAGGGCGUUUGUGUGUGUUUUCUUGCUUGUGUGUGUAAGGCAGAGGUCAAUGCCAUUCUCCAACCCCCUUCCACCUCUUUUAACAAAACAAGGUCUUUCCCUGAGCCUACAGCUCACCAAUUAGGCUAAAUUAUCUCUAUUUCCACCAGCAGGGGGAUCAUAGGCACUGUGCCUGGGCUCACAUGGGUUCUAAGCAAGACCUCAUGCUUACACAAUAAGCACCUUACUGACUGAGCCAUCUCCCAGCCCUCUGCUGUCUUCUUGACAAACCAUCCUUGGCUGAAUAAGCUGCUUUCCCCAAGAUUACACCCAAUUCUUGGGGUAGCUAGCACCUAAUACCUAGUCAGUACUAGAAGACUUACUCCUAACACAACUCAAAACAUCCUGUGCCUGGAGCUGACAUCAGACUAAUUCCACUUCCUUCCUUUCCCUACAGGAAUUAGUUCUAAAAGAGCUCCCUAGUAAGUGUCCUGCACACCACCGAUCAAUAACUUUUCAUCCUGGAGACAGUCCCAAGAGAACCAACCUACAAGACAGCUGCCAUUUGAUCGCUGGGUAUAAGCUCACCUCUGGAUCUGACUUGUGUCUUCUCUAACCCCAAGAAUCCGAGGUACAAAUUUGCAGCAUACCUA